CCCCGCCAUUACUUCAUCAAGACCAUAAAUACGAGCAAUGCCAUCGCCUACUUGAAGUACGGUACCAGUAUUUACAAUCUUUGCUUCAGUAUUAUAUUGCUCAAUACGUUCACGGAUAAUUUUACUAAUUUCAUCUGCACGAAUGCUUACCAUGAGUAUUUAUUAAUUUAAUUCUUUUUAUAAGAAAAAAAAUAAUGCCUAUAGUAGAAGAAGGACUAAUCUUUUAUUUCUUUCAUUCCCCCAAAGAUGCCAAUAUUGGCACUGAUGGUACGUAAAUGCAACUCGUUGUUCAAGCAACUAUUCAAAGUUCCUAGAGCUCCCUCUAAGGCGUGUUGGAAAACCCGCAGUUGAACUUGAUUAAUCGCCCUUUGUUGUUCAAAACGAAUGGUUUCGUUUUUAUAAUUUUCGAAUUGUUCCAAAGUUGUAUAAAUUGAAUUAAUUAAAUUUAAUUUUUCUCGUUCUAUCUCAGAAUAGCCAUUCGCUCGAAAACGAUCUGCUUCCGUUUCCACUUUCCUUAAGCGGGCCCGGGCUUUUUCCAGCUGUUCAAUAGCCCCUUCCCGCAGUUCUUCUGAAUUUCGAAUAGUCUUCAAGAUUCUCUGUUUUCGAUUAUCUAAUAAAUUACUUAAUGAAAGUAGAUUAUCUUUCCAUUCAUUUAAUUUCAAAACGUCUAUGAUCUCUUCCCGAACCAAACAUGAAUCUUUUGAUUCAUUUGGCUCUCACACUCAAUUACUAAAUGGGAAAAUUCCCUAUCUUUUUUAUGUAAUGAGCCUAUCCUCUCUAUUCCAUUCCAAAAAUAUGGAAAUUGAUUACUAAUAGAAGACCAGAAUAUUUUGAGGACUCUUCUGACCAAAUAAAUAAUUGUCAAUUGUCAGCAAAGUUGUUUUUUUCUUCAAAUCCAAAGAAUUCUUAUUAAUUGAUACAUAAGUAUAGGUCAUCGAUUCCGCAUUGUAUAAUAAAAAAGGGGGUGAAAUGAAAUACACUACACCCAUUUUUCCAAUUUUUUACCGUAAAGAGGAUUCAAGCCAUUUUAUCGACAUGAGUGUUCUAUAUCGAGAAAAUUCCAACAAUUUGUUUUUUGAAAGUUUCAUUUCUAUAUUAACAUAGUGGGAGAAAGAGUACUACACUGCGCCGAGACUUCAAAUUACUUAGUUUUAACCAUGGUAAUAUGGUCCAAAAUUAUUGGUUGAUAGAGAAUCAAAGUGGAUUUACCAAUGAAUCACGAAAUGCUAUGGUUCUAAAAUAUUAUUUCUUAAUUAAUUCAGAAGUAAUUCGCGGGCUCAUGCACCCUUUUUUCCCAGUUACAACGAAAAAAGUACAGUUGGUUGUAUCCAACCUAUUCUUGAAAUAAACAACUCGCACACACUCCCUUUCCAAAAAAAACCAAUACACCGAGCACUACACUUAGAUUUAUUGGAUUUGUUGCUAAAAUAUCGGUAUUUAACCCGAAACUUCCGGCGGAUGGCCAGUAACCCAAGCAAAGGAAAGAAUCGGUUAUAUUGUUCAUAUGAUCUCAUAUCCUCUUAUGGAUAGGCUAAUUAUCUUGCUACGAUUCCGAGAUUUAGAUUUUGUUAGGAUUAAACAAAAGGAUUCGCAAAUAAAAGUGCUAAUGCUACAACUAGCCCAUAAAUUGUUAAAGCUUCCAUAAAAGCCAGACUAAGCAAUAAAGUACCCCGGAUUUUUCCCUCUGCCUCGGGUUGUCGCGCAAUCCCCUCUACAGCUUGUCCUGCAGCAGUGCCUUGACCAACCCCCGGUCCAAUGGAAGCAAGCCCAACGGCCAACCCAGCAGCAAUAACGGAAGCGGCAGAAAUCAGUGGAUUCAUAAUAAGUUCCUCGCACCCCAAAUAAAAUAAAGAAAUAGUUAAUGAUACAAUCAACAAACAAAUUAGGACUUUAUUAUUCAAUUACGAAGGUUUAUCCAGUUACAGUAAUUUCAAAUUCCGAAUUGAUAUAAUACUAUUUAUUGAACUACCCAAACAGCAUUUAUUUGUUCUUUUCUAUCCACGUAGUUUUUGUGAAUCGAUACAACUUUUUUUCUUAUCUUGCCUUAACUCAUUCUUUGAAUUCUUCGUUCUUUUUCUUGAUUUAAUUUCUUUAGUCAUUCAAUAUUCAAUUCACAAUUACAGAUGAAAGGCAAGGACUUCGUUUUUUGAAUACCUAUCUCAAUUUACAGUAGUAGCGGGGCAGGACAAAUUGAGAUAUAUAGUUAGUUCAUAUAUAUAUCUAACUAGUUAAUAUCUAAUAUCACAUAUACAUGUCUUUCUUCCAUACCGUAAACAAAUUAUUCGUAUCUUGAGUUCAAUAUCGGAUUCGAGGGUAAAAUCAUCCUUUGCUUUGAAACCUUUAAAAAAGAAAGAGUUGUCUUAUAGCGAUUAGAUUUUUUAUACACCCAAUUCGAACCCCUUCACUCCUAUUCUUUUUUUUUUUUAUCUCGUUUUUUUUUGUCAAUCGUUGUGAAUCAAACGGGAAUCGGUUCUAGUUCUAUAAAACAUCUUUUUUUAAUCACACGUCGUAAAUGUGGAUAUCAUACAAAAUUAUAGCUACUAAUAUCUAAUAUAUUGACUAUAUCAAAAUCUAAUAAAAAUAUUUAACGUGUUAUAAUUAUAAUUGAAUGAACAAAAAAAGAUUCAUUCGAAGGAAAUAGAAAUUGGUCAAACAAAGAGUAUUUUUAGGAAAAAUAGGAAAAAGAUCUUUUAUUUAGAUAGAUCGUUUUCCUAUUUUUUUUUUUUACAAUUCCCCGGUAACCGUUGAUAUUUUACUAUUACACUUAUACUGAAUCGUAUACUUAUUGUAUUUAUAUACCUUAUUGCUACAUCUUUCUUUUUUUUUUAUUAUAAAAUUAUUUUGUAAAAUUAUUUCUAUUCUUUAUAUUUCAUAUAGUUAUGUGUUCCCUAAUUAGAUUAUCAUGAACUGGAAUACAAUACAUUGCAGCGGGCUAAACUUAAAAUGGAUUAUUUCGAAAACAGGUCAAUGAUGGCCUUCCAUGGAUUCACCUAUAUAAGCCGCAGCUAAAGUAGCAAAAAUGAGAGCUUGA
rnacentral:lncRNA from 1 species